rnacentral:rRNA from 1 species
UACGAAGGGGGCUAGCGUUGCUCGGAAUUACUGGGCGUAAAGGGCGCGUAGGCGGCUAUUUAAGUUGGGGGUGAAAUCCCGGGGCUCAACCUCGGAAUUGCCUUCAAAACUGGAUAUCUUGAGUUCGGGAGAGGUGAGUGGAACUCCGAGUGUAGAGGUGAAAUUCGUAGAUAUUCGGAAGAACACCAGUGGCGAAGGCGACUCACUGGCCCGAUACUGACGCUGAGGCGCGAAAGCUAGGGGAGCAAACGGG